UACAGAGGGUGCGAGCGUUAAUCGGAAUUACCGGGCGUAAAGCGUGCGCAGGCGGUGAUGUAAGACAGGUGUGAAAUCCCCGGGCUUAACCUGGGAACUGCAUUUGUGACUGCAUCGCUGGAGUGCGGCAGAGGGGGAUGGAAUUCCGCGUGUAGCAGUGAAAUGCGUAGAUAUGCGGAGGAACACCGAUGGCGAAGGCGGCGUUCUGGACUGCAACUGACACUGAUGAACGAAAGCCAGGGGAGCAAACGGGG
rnacentral:rRNA from 1 species